rnacentral:lncRNA from 1 species
CACUAAAAAAAAUGAUAUUUCCCACAGAAUAUUUCCCACCGAAUUUAUUUCGUCGCUGAAUUCUGUCGGAAAUUUAUAAAAUUCCGACGAAAUUUAUCCACAGAAAAAUUUUCUAUCGGAAAGUAUAUCAUUUACUAUCUUUUCGACGGAUUUUACGGAAGGAUUUCGGUCCAUCAGAAUUUUAAUUUUACCCAAAGAAAAGGCCUAACCCUAGCCCUCUUCUCACUCACGUUUUCGACCUUGCCUCCGCUGUGCCGUCCUAUGAGCCACAGCUUUGUGCCUCCACUGUGCCGUCCUGGGAGCCCAUGCGUUUGUGCCUCCACAGUGCCUUCGUUGUCGCUCCUCCUCUCUGAGCCCACGCCGCUGCGCCCACUCCCAUCACAGUGAGGUAAUAAGAAUAGCUAAUUAAUGAGCUUCAAGUUUGAUCUCUUGUACUGCGUAGAUCUGAUCUAUGUUUUUAUGCUAUAAUUAUGAGUGUAG